rfam:Oryza meridionalis cultivar OR44 (W2112) chromosome 2, whole genome shotgun sequence.
UGGGAACUCAGUUUUGUACUGUUUAUCUCCAACGUUUGACCGUACGUUUUAUUUGAAAUUUUUUAUGAUUAGUAUUUUUGUUGUUAUUAGAUGAUAAAACAUGAAUAAUACUCUAUGUGUGACUAUUUUUUUUAUUUUUUUUCAUAAAAUUUUCAAAUAAAACAGAUGGUCAAACGUUGAACACGGAUACCCAUGACUGCACUUAUU